CCUUUAGUGGUACAGUUGGUAGGGCCUUGGUACACUUUUAAUGUGUCCUAGGUUUGAAUCCUAGCCAGGGGC